AUCACAAUGAUGAACUUUUCCCAAAUUAUCUAUUUGAUCGACUAGCUGCGGCAAUGUUGUCGAAACUUAUCACCAUCUUUCGCCUGACGUUUC